AUUGAACGCUGGCGGCAUGCUUUACACAUGCAAGUCGAACGGUAACAGGUUAAGCUGACGAGUGGCGAACGGGUGAGUAAUGCAACGGAACGAGCCCGGCCGUGGGGGAUAACGCAGCGAAAGCUGCGCUAAUACCGCAUACGAUCUGAGGAUGAAAGCGGGGGACCGUAAGGCCUCGCGCGAUCGGAGCGGCCGAUGUCAGAUUAGGUAGUUGGUGGGGUAAAGGCUCACAAAGCCAACGAUCUGUAGCUGGUAUGAGAGGACGGCCAGCAACACUGGGACUGAGACACGGCCAAGAUUCAUACGGGAGGCAGGAGUGGGGAAUUGUGGACAAUGGGAGAAAGCCUGAUCCAGCAAUGCCGAGUGCAGGAAGAAGGCCUUCGGUUUGUAAACUGCUUUUGUACGGAGCGAAAAGGUCUCCUGUAAUACGGUGGGCUCAUGACGGUACCGUAAGAAUAAGCACCGGCUAACUACGUGCCAGCCGCCGCAGUAA
rnacentral:rRNA from 1 species